CUCUCUCUCUCUCUCUCUCUCUCUCUCUCUCUCUCUUUAUCAAUUAACUACAGCAAAACAGGCAAAGGAAGUAAUUGAGAAACAGGUCGCGUUGAAACAUUCGCAAUUUAUUCGGAUUACAAAUGAAUACAACUUAGUGCUAUUAACGUUUCUCAUUAUCGUUUAUAUAUUUCUGUGAAUUGAUACGGAAAAAAAAAAGAAAAGAAAAAAAAAAUGUAGAUUUUCUAAAGAGAAAGAGAGAAAGAGAGAAAGGGGAAAUAAAGAUAAACGACGUCGUUACUCGUGACCAUCGAAUGUUCACUAAUUCGACUUAUCCGAUCGCUUAAUCGUACGAGGAUAUUCAAAAUACAAGCUACUAACUAUCCUAAAUGCCAGAGGAAAACUCGAUAAUUUGAACAACAACAUCGAAAGUCCGAGUUGAUGUGCGAGGUCGACCCUCGUUGGUACGAGCGAAUGAGAACGUUCCACCUCGAUUGGAAGAUCCUUGAGUCCCGAGAUCGGAUUAUUACAUAACGUUCGAAAUUCUCAAAGAGAAAAAGAUUAUAAAAAGAAUGAACGAGAAUAACGAUUACGAUACUACGACGUAGAGGGAUAGAUAAAUCUUGAGGAUGAAUAAUAAUCGUAAAAAAAAAAAAAAGAAAAAAAAAAUGUUUGCGAACGAUAAAACCCAGAUAGAAAUUAUUUUCCGAACGAUUGUUUAUUUAAAUAGAAUUGUUAUUCUAAAUUAUGAGAGAGAAAUGAUGGGGAGUAUCCGAUAAGUCUAUGAGCGUUAGUAUUGGGAAAUAAAAUAAAAUAAAUUUUCUUUUAUUACGCAUAGCUCCGAUAGUUUUAUUUUCAUCCGGCGCCAUCCUAAGGUCGCACGAAAAUAAUUUCGCGUGUCCUUCGAAAUUUAUCUUUCGUCGAGUCGUACAAAGCCGUUACUUUUCGCCGUUGCAAAUAUUAUUCUAAGUCACGAUGGGGAUUAAAUGAUAUAUUUUGUCACUUUUUCUUCGGCGAGGAGAGAACACAAAGGAGAUAGAAAAAAAAAAAAAGAAAAAACAAGGACGAAAAAAAAGGAAAAAAAAAAAAGUGAAAAGAAACAUUUACAAAUAAACGAUAACAAAAGUUAUCGUUUGUUAUCACUUGUGAUGCUUUUUUAACGUAGCGCGAUGAGUAUAAAGAGAACGCGUGUGAAAAAAAAAAAAGAAAAAAAAGAAAAAAAGAAAAAGGAAAAGAAA